rnacentral:misc_RNA from 1 species
GAUGAAGAACGUAGCGAAAUGCGAUACGUAAUGUGAAUUGCAGAAUUCAGUGAAUCAUCGAAUCUUUGAACGCACAUUGCGCCCCUUGGUAUUCCGAAGGGCAUGCCUGUUCGAGCGUCAUUAUAACCCCUCAAGCUCAGCUUGGUGUUGGGGCCUGCUGCACUGGCAGCCCUUAAAAUCAGUGGCGGCGCCAUCUGGCUCUAAGCGUAGUAAUUCUUCUCGCUAUGGAGUCCUGGUGGAUGCUUGCCAUCAACCCCCAAUUUUUCUAUGGUUGACCUCGGAUCAGGUAGGGAUACCCGCUGAACUUAAGCAUAUCAAUAAGCGGAGGA